GCUUCGGGCUGCCUCUUUGUCCAAAAGCCUUGUUUCUGAAAGCUAGUCUCUGAAUGAGCAGGUAGAAGAAAAAGACCUCUCUAGUUCUGAGAAACAAAAAGCAUAGAAUAAACUUUAUUCCAAAAGAGAUAUCGAAAAGAUGGGUUCAAAGCAAAGUUACGUUACUAACUCGACUGUUCUUCCAUAAUUUCCAAAUCUUCCUCCUCCAAGGCAGGCUCUCCAGCCAAGCUGUAGCCGGAUGUGUUCAGAGCCCUCAGCCCACGAGAAUUUAGACUCGAUCUUCUUCCUGUGGGGGCUUCUCAACUUUUCCAAGCCAGGCAGUGAGAAUGGAUACAAGGCUGGUGACAGCACUGGGCCCACGGGGUAUGGGGCUGGCGCCCACUGGUGUCCCCAGGGAGACCCGCAGUCCAAGGGAUUCAGCAUGGGUCCCAGCCGCGAGCUGGCUGGGGCAGCUGACAGGAAGGGGCUGAGUGGGCAGCGGGAUAUGAAUGGAAACCCCAGGCCGACACCAGCCUGGCUCCCUUGGGGGAGCUGGGGCUGGCCUUGAUGCCCACGCACAGCCUGCCCAGACACCAACCAAGAGCUCUGCUGUGGGCAGAGGGGCCAUGGAAGCUGUCCUGAGCACUGAACUCUGUCAGGCCACCUUGAAGAUCCGACCAAACAGCAUGCUGGGAGAGCUACGCAUUCCUAAGCCCAGCUUCUUGGGCCAGACAGACACCAGAGGCUGUUGUUGUUCCCUAGAGAGAGAUGCAACAUGUGAAUCAGCCUUGCAUUGCCAGGACCACACAGCCCUGGGACUCAUCUUGGUGGCACUCAGCCCACUAGAGGCAGCCGUCCUGUGCUGAACUCAGCAGGUCUCAUCGUGAGCCGCAGAAGGGACUACGUCUCGGGACUUCCAGUACGUACCUGCUGAGGGCUUGAGGAGACAGCGUCACACUUCACGAAGGGCCUGGGCCUCUCUGACCCCAUCCAGAGCCCCACUGGCUGCCUCCACUAAGCGUCAAGUGGUUCCAAGGCCAGGGCCGGUCUCCAGUGGGAGGCACUCGAGAACCGGGCACUCAGCUGGGAGAUUCAGAGGAAUGACCUGGCCAGUCACCAUGUAAUCCACGCCACACGCCACAUCCCCAGCUCCCCAGGCAUCGUAACCUGAAAAACAAGGCCCAGCCCACGGUGAGGGAACGUGGCUGGCUAGGAGGCAGACGGGCAUGGAGCCCAGCUGGGCCUGGUCCCGGCUCUGCUUCUUGGUAGGGGACUGCCCCAUCUCUGACCUGGCUCCUCCCCUGGAAGAGGGGAUGCUUAUACCUGCCUGGCAGGUCUGCUGGGACAAGUAAACGCCAUCACUGUAGGAAGG
rnacentral:lncRNA from 1 species